CUAUGCCAAUUGAAAUGUCUAACUACUACAGAAAAUGAUCAUUGAACAAAUCAAUGCUUUAACAAAAUAUUUCAUACAAAAGGAUUGAGCGAAAAUUCCAUACCCAAAAUAGCUGAAAUUGACCCACGCAUUAUGUAUAUAUAUAAUUAUAUUUUCCUCAUGACUCUGGGGAGAGUUUGAACCCCCGUAUGGUAAAGUUUAUGUGUUUUCCCCGGUUCUCUCGUCAGAUUCCCGGGAUUUUCCCAGUUACUUUUAAAAUUCCCGGUUCGCUGACCAAUCCUCCGCAAUCCGAUAAGUUGCUUCCAUCUGCACCGGACCCGCAUCCAGUCCUUUCACGAAAUUGGCAAUGUUACCCAUGUACAUCCAUUGGCCAAGCUAAGCUUGAUGACAAAGCGCACCGAGGAUAGGUGAUUGUACAACUGGUGAAUUAUUUCGAACAUCUCGGAUCCCUUUUCGUCCUGCUGUAUUUUAAGAACGUGAACUUUUCUCCGGAAGGUUCUAGGAUUUAUUUUUAGGAGCAUCGAAGUUGCAUGAUUUCUUCGACUCCAACUGGAGAUUUUCGCUUAAAUGGUGUUACAAGGUUGAAAACCCCUGUCAAUGGUCGACCACCACCACGAAGGAGCCUUGUUGAAACACAAAUUGAGGAUCUAGGAAAAUUGCACCUUAACAGUGUCAGUUCAGCGAAACAUUGUCCGGUCGCUCUUCGUAGUCUACCGUGGAGCAAUCCACAUCAUUGCAUACAGCUCACCGGCCUGAACUCACUACUUGUACGAAGAAAUCUAUCGCGUGGCAUUAGGGAGCGUUUAUUUUUGUAAUCGUUCGGGGCAUGUUUUCCUGUGUGAUUAUUGGGACUAAUUAUGUAACAUGUCAAAAAUUGAGCGUUGACAUUUAGAGGUGGCGCGAGGGCUCUAAGUCCAAAAUGUCGAACGAUGAGCUUUUUCAAAUAAAACAUAUGCUUUUAUAAGUAAGCACGUGAUUUUGUGUCCAAUUUUGUCCAUUUUACGAUAUCUUCUUCACUCGUUCUUGUGAUAUUGCCGUUUUGCCGGCUCUCAACUUAGUGGUUGGUUGGUUUGUUGUUUGUCUUUAUUAAGGAGAUUUUCAGUCAGACGUUGGUUCAUCUCCGCUCAACUUAGUGUCCUAGAUGCACUUUCACAGUUAUUAAUUUAGAGCUUUCUAUUCCAAACAAUGCAUGAAUUUGUAUAUUGUGUGAGACAAGCACAAUGAUAUUCUAUGCCCAGGGAAGUCGAGAAAAUAACCAGCCCGAAAGAUUUCCUCGACCGGACCGGAAAUCGAACCCACCUUCGGCUUCGUAAAAACGUGCCUUUUUACCGACUAGGCUAUCUGAGGCCCAUGAAAAACAUGGAGACCUAAUAGAAGAUCUAUGCUUUGCAUUGCGAGACUUGGAUCUUCUAGAGAUAUGAUUGAAUCUGAUGCAGAAGAUUACAUUUGCUUACCAGCGACAACGGAAGGAUUUCGAUGCAUGUCACUUAAAACAUGUAUGCCAAAAACCAUGAAUACGCAUGAACAUUUCAAAUAAAUAAAACUCUUUAAUUGAUACCAAACUUUAAGCCCACUUUAUACAAUUAGUACAUUCAGUAUAAUAAUACUUAUUCCAUAAUAGAACACCUACAUAGCUUCCUACAAUCCUACACUUCGUUCGGUAACGGUAUCUUGCCUCAUAAUGUUCCUGCAAAUACACUGAUAUUUUAACGACGGCGAUAACACGGGAGGAGAAAACUAUUGAACACAAUCAACAUGUCCGUGUUGUAGAAGUCCGGCUUGGCUCCCGCGUGGAGCUCAAUAGUUAAAGAUCUUCGCCUCGAAUCCUACUA